rnacentral:rRNA from 1 species
AACGAACGCUGGCGGCAUGCCUAUCACAUGCAAGUCGAACGAGACCUUCGGGUCUAGUGGCGCACGGGUGCGUAACGCGUGGGAACCUGCCCUUAGGUUCGGAAUAACUCCCCGAAAGGGGUGCUAAUACCGGAUAAUGUCUUCGGACCAAAGAUUUAUCGCCUUUGGAUGGGCCCGCGUUGGAUUAGCUAGUUGGUAGGGUAAAAGCCUACCAAGGCGACGAUCCAUAGCUGGUCUGAGAGGAUGAUCAGCCACACUGGGACUGAGACACGGCCCAGACUCCUACGGGAGGCAGCAGUGGGGAAUAUUGGACAAUGGGCGAAAGCCUGAUCCAGCAAUGCCGCGUGAGUGAUGAAGGCCUUAGGGUUGUAAAGCUCUUUUACCCGGGAUGAUAAUGACAGUACCGGGAGAAUAAGCGCCGGCUAACUCCGUG